rnacentral:rRNA from 1 species
GCUCAGGACGAACGCUGGCGGCGUGCCUAAUACAUGCAAGUCGAGCGGACAGAAGGGAGCUUGCUCCCGGAUGUUAGCGGCGGACGGGUGAGUAACACGUGGGUAACCUGCCUGUAAGACUGGGAUAACUCCGGGAAACCGGAGCUAAUACCGGAUAGUUCCUUGAACCGCAUGGUUCAAGGAUGAAAGACGGUUUCGGCUGUCACUUACAGAUGGACCCGCGGCGCAUUAGCUAGUUGGUGGGGUAAAGGCUCACCAAGGCGGACGAUGCGUAGCCGACCUGAGAGGGUGAUCGGCCACACUGGGACUGAGACACGGCCCAGACUCCUACGGGAGGCAGCAGUAGGGAAUCUUCCGCAAUGGACGAAAGUCUGACGGAGCAACGCCGCGUGAGUGAUGAAGGUUUUCGGAUCGUAAAGCUCUGUUGUUAGGGAAGAACAAGUGCGAGAGUAACUGCUCGCACCUUGACGGUACCUAACCAGAAAGCCACGGCUAACUACGUGCCAGCAGCCGCGGUAAUACGUAGGUGGCAAGCGUUGUCCGGAAUUAUUGGGCGUAAAGGGCUCGCAGGCGGUUUCUUAAGUCUGAUGUGAAAGCCCCCGGCUCAACCGGGGAGGGUCAUUGGAAACUGGGAAACUUGAGUGCAGAAGAGGAGAGUGGAAUUCCACGUGUAGCGGUGAAAUGCGUAGAGAUGUGGAGGAACACCAGUGGCGAAGGCGACUCUCUGGUCUGUAACUGACGCUGAGGAGCGAAAGCGUGGGGAGCGAACAGGAUUAGAUACCCUGGUAGUCCACGCCGUAAACGAUGAGUGCUAAGUGUUAGGGGGUUUCCGCCCCUUAGUGCUGCAGCUAACGCAUUAAGCACUCCGCCUGGGGAGUACGGUCGCAAGACUGAAACUCAAAGGAAUUGACGGGGGCCCGCACAAGCGGUGGAGCAUGUGGUUUAAUUCGAAGCAACGCGAAGAACCUUACCAGGUCUUGACAUCCUCUGACAACCCUAGAGAUAGGGCUUUCCCUUCGGGGACAGAGUGACAGGUGGUGCAUGGUUGUCGUCAGCUCGUGUCGUGAGAUGUUGGGUUAAGUCCCGCAACGAGCGCAACCCUUGAUCUUAGUUGCCAGCAUUCAGUUGGGCACUCUAAGGUGACUGCCGGUGACAAACCGGAGGAAGGUGGGGAUGACGUCAAAUCAUCAUGCCCCUUAUGACCUGGGCUACACACGUGCUACAAUGGACAGAACAAAGGGCUGCAAGACCGCAAGGUUUAGCCAAUCCCAUAAAUCUGUUCUCAGUUCGGAUCGCAGUCUGCAACUCGACUGCGUGAAGCUGGAAUCGCUAGUAAUCGCGGAUCAGCAUGCCGCGGUGAAUACGUUCCCGGGCCUUGUACACACCGCCCGUCACACCACGAGAGUUUGCAACACCCGAAGUCGGUGAGGUAACCUUUAUGGAGCCAGCCGCCGAAGGUGGGGCAGAUGAUUGGGGUGAAGUUC